rnacentral:rRNA from 1 species
GACGUAGGGAGCGAGCGUUGUCCGGAUUCAUUGGGCGUAAAGCGCGCGUAGGCGCCUCGCAAGUCGGUUGUGAAAUCCCGGGGCUCAACCCCGGGACUGCGUCCGAUACUGCGAGGCUGGAGGUAGGUAGGGGAGAUCGGAAUUCCUGGUGUAGCGGUGAAAUGCGCAGAUAUCAGGAGGAACACCGGUGGCGAAGGCGGAUCUCUGGGCCAUUACUGACGCUGAGGAGCGAAAGCGUGGGGAGCGAACAGG